GCAAGAUUAAAACUCAAAGGAAUAGACGGGGACCCGCACAAGCGGUGGAGCAUGUGGUUUAAUUCGAAGAUACGCGAAGAACCUUACCUGGGCUUGAUAUCCUAAGAACCUUUUAGAGAUAAGAGGGUGCUAGCUUGCUAGAACUUAGAGACAGGUGCUGCACGGCUGUCGUCAGCUCGUGUCGUGAGAUGUUGGGUUAAGUCCCGCAACGAGCGCAACCCACGUAUUUAGUUGCUAACGGUUCGGCCGAGCACUCUAAAUAGACUGCCUUCGUAAGGAGGAGGAAGGUGUGGACGACGUCAAGUCAUCAUGGCCCUUAUGCCCAGGGCGACACACGUGCUACAAUGGCAUAUACAAUGAGACGCAAUACCGCGAGGUGGAGCAAAUCUAUAAAAUAUGUCCCAGUUCGGAUUGUUCUCUGCAACUCGAGAGCAUGAAGCCGGAAUCGCUAGUAAUCGUAGAUCAGCCAUGCUACGGUGAAUACGUUCCCGGGUCUUGUACUCACCGCCCGUCACACCAUGGGAGUUGAUUUCACUCGAAGCCGGAAUACUAAACUAGUUACCGUCCACAGUGGAAUCAGCGACUGGGGUGAAGUCGUAACAAGGUAACCGUAGGAGAACCUGCGGUUGGAUCACCUCCUUUCUA
rnacentral:rRNA from 1 species